AACGCACCUUGCGCUCCCUGGUAUUCCGGGGAGCAUGCCUGUUUGAGUGUCGUGAAAUCAUCAUGGUCAUGAUCUUUAAUUAAUCAUGGCUUGGUUUUGGAGGUUAUGUUGGCUUUUUAUUAAGUUGACUCCUCUUAAAUACAUUAGCUCAGUGUUUAAUGCUUAGAGCGGUUCACGGUGUGAUAAUUAUCUGCGCCGUAGUCGUGAAGUAUUAAUAAAAGUUCUCGCUUCUAAUCGUCCUUCACGGGACAAUUAACCCUGACUUUUUGACCUCAAAUCAGGUAGGACUACCCGCUGAACUUAA
rnacentral:rRNA from 1 species